rnacentral:rRNA from 1 species
GAAUGCCUUACGGUUGAAAGCUUUAGCGUCUGAGGAUGGGUCUGCGGCCGAUUAGGUAGUUGCUGGGGUAACGUCCCAACAAGCCGAUAAUCGGUACGGGUUGUGAGAGCAAGAGCCCGGAGAUGGAUUCUGAGACACGAAUCCAGGUCCUACGGGGCGCAGCAGGCGCGAAAACUUUACACUGCGCGAAAGCGCGAUAAGGGGACCUCGAGUGCGUGCGCAAUGCGUACGCUUUUCAGAUGCCUAAAAAGCAUCUGGAAUAAGGGCCGGGCAAGACCGGUGCCAGCCGCCGCGGUAACACCGGCGGCUCAAGUGGUGGCCGCUAUUAUUGGGCUUAAAGGGUCCGUAGCCGGACCAGUUAGUCCCUUGGGAAAUCUUACGGCUUAACCGUAAGGCUGCCAAUGGAUACUGCUGGUCUUGGGACCGGGAGAGGCAAGAGGUACCUCAGGGGUAGGAGUGAAAUCCUGUAAUCCUUGAGGGACCGCCAGUGGCGAAGGCGUCUUGCUAGAACGGGUCCGACGGUGAGGGACGAAAGCUAGGGGCACGAACCGGAUUAGAUACCCGGGUAGUCCUAGCCGUAAACGAUGCGAGCUAGGUGUCACGUGGAUUGCGAAUCCAUGUGGUGCCGAAGGGAAACCGUGAAGCUCGCCGCCUGGGAAGUACGGCCGCAAGGCUGAAACUUAAAGGAAUUGGCGGGGGAGCAC